rnacentral:lncRNA from 1 species
CCCCAAAUGAGGGCUGGAGCUCAGGUGACAGAGGUUUUGCCCAGCAGGUUGGCGACCCUAGGUUGGAUCCCCAGCACCAAAUAAAAAUGUUUGUAAAGUGAGGUAACGGCCACAGAGAGGUUUCAUAACCAGCCCAGAGUUACACAGGGAAUAACUGGGGUAUCACUGAUGCAAAUCCAAGUGUCUGUGGCUUCAGUACCCCAUUCCAGAUCCAGAUAUCUGAAUCAGUCCUCCCUCCUAAACUGUAGACCUCUUGAGCCAACUAACCACCCACCAGUCACAUUUUUGCACUCAGUGAACUCUGGGGCAGUGGACGUGACCUCCAAGAGAAAAGAGUGGUAGGGAAAGUGGAUCCCAAAGCCGGUGCCCUACCGGCUGGAGAGAGAGAGGGCCUAUUAUCAGGAGCUUGAAGGAUGAGAGGAGGAGAGGUUAAGUCUUCCAUAGGAGACAGACAAUUAUGCUCCACGCAGGUGGUGGUCAGCUCGGAUUAUAUUCAAUUUAUUUACUUUUCCUUUCUCCCCCCCUCCCUUCCUUCCUGCCUAUCUUUCAGCAUUUGCAAAACAUGCUCUGUGGUGAGCACACCCGAAGCCUAUAUGUGG